rnacentral:rRNA from 1 species
UUACGGCCAUAUCACGUUGAAAAAACCGGUUCUCGUACGAUCACCGAAGUUAAGCAACGCCGAACCUGGUCAGUACCUAGAUGGGUGACCGCUUGCGAAUACCAGGUGCUGUAAG